UCUGACCCAUGCAGGCAAGGAAAAGUGGACAUUAAAAUGACGAUGAUUUAUUCUCCAUUUUCUUCUGACAAUAGAAGCUGUGCUUGUUGAGAUGUUUGCUUAAUGAAUGAGCUGAAGAUCGGAAGACCGUC